rnacentral:lncRNA from 1 species
UGCUGGUCUCACUAGUUGUCUAAGGCUCAGAUCUUGAUCACCGAAGUACUCUUGUUCACCACGAAUUGUUCACCGACUAAACUCGAUCAUCGAUCAUCAACACACAAACAGUCGGAGACAAACAAACACGAAGCAAACAAAGCUACAAUUAGAACAGUACACCAAUCAUGUAAAAACAGUAUGAAAAGUUUAUAAAAUGAUUCUACGCAUCGCUACGUUCUCACAGACGUAAAGAUCAUGAAAAUCGGAGCUAAAAUGUAGAAGAUAUGAAUUUUCUAAGAUUUCUUAUAGAUAAAUAAAUAAUUAAAUGCUACUGCGAAAUAAAAAGUUUCAAAACAGUAAACUAAUACUUCCAACAUAUAGAGCUCGUAAAUACGAAUCUAACGAAAUUUGAAUGGACAAAAACGGAGUUAAAACGAAGAAAAUAUGGCGUAAACAAACUAGUGUAGUUUUCUUUGUAUUUUUAGAUUUUUUUUUCUAAAGGAAAAUGGCAACAAAAUUCAUUUACGUCAUCAGCGCGUCAUCAUGAUGUCAUGAAGCUAGCGAACAGGGCACAGUACACGCACGGCAUGCACUGCGGCCGGCCAUUGCUGGAAGCGAGCUUUUGGCCAACGAGUAGAACUUGGCCUACGGCAAUGAUUCGACGCGGGGAAAACACAAAGACAGAGCGAAGACCACUACGAACUCACCAAGGGGUUUUCGUAGUCGAAGUUGAGACGAGAACAGUGCGCAGCUCGACGGACAAGAAGAUGGUGCCUCACGUAUGAGAUUUUGCCCUCCAGGCCGUGGAUCGGCAGCCGGUACCCGCCUGUGCCUGUGCACCUGCUUUGCCGAAGCAAUCGCAAAAAUCUCGACGGCAGAUAAGGAAGGCGUCGCGGCGGCGGCGACAGACCGAUUGCG